rnacentral:sRNA from 1 species
AUUUCUAUAUCGCUUAAUCCUUUUUUGGAGCGGGGGACCCACUUUUUAAGGUGACUUUUUUCACCUGGGGUGAAUCCUAUUAACGUAGGUAGGGCUACUCUUUUGGCCCGAAUCCGACAGCUAACUCCGUAAGCGUUCUUGAGAGUGGAU